GUGUAUGGCCAUACUACCCUGAAUGUGCCUGAUCUUGUCUGAUCUCAGAAGCUAAGCAGCGUUGGGCCUGCUUAGUACUUGGAUGGGAGACGAAUUCAGCUGUUGGGUACC
rnacentral:rRNA from 1 species